AUUGAACGCUGGCGGCAUGCUUUACACAUGCAAGUCGAACGGCAGCACGGGUGCUUGCACCUGGUGGCGAGUGGCGGACGGGUGAGUAAUGCAUCGGAACGUGUCCUGAAGUGGGGGGAUAACGCAUCGAAAGAUGUGCUAAUACCGCAUAUUCUCUGAGGAGGAAAAGUAGGGGAUCGAAAGACCUUAUGCUUUUUGGGAGCGGCCGAUGUCUGAUUAGCUAGUUGGUAGGGUAAUGGCUUACCAAGGCGACGAUCAGUAGUUGGUCUGAGAGGACGACCAGCCACACUGGGACUGAGACACGGCCCAGACUCCUACGGGAGGCAGCAGUGGGGAAUUUUGGACAAUGGGCGCAAGCCUGAUCCAGCAAUGCCGCGUGAGUGAAGAAGGCCUUCGGUUGUAAAGCGUACUUUCAGUUGUAGAAGAAAAAGUACGUA
rnacentral:rRNA from 1 species